CAGUAGCCGCGGUAAAACGAACCGUGCGAACGUUAUUCGGAAUUACUGGGCUUAAAGCGCGUGUAGGCGGGUCGGCACGUCGGUCGCUGAAAUCCCCCGGCUCAACCGGGGAAGUGGCGCCGAUACGGCCGGCCUGGAGGGGGGUAGGGGGGCCUGGAACUUCCGGUGGAGCGGUGAAAUGCGUUGAGAUCGGAAGGAACGCCCGUGGCGAAAGCGAGGCCCUGGACCCUUUCUGACGCUGAGACGCGAAAGCCAGGGGAGCGAACGGGAUUAGAUACCCGUGUAGUCCCUGUCUCUUAUA
rnacentral:rRNA from 1 species